AAGAUUCUGACCUCUGUGUCACACCUCUUCAGCUGUGCGCUGUGGCUGCACGCUGUUGAAUUUCUCACACCUGUGCACUUUUCGGUUGCGGCCUGCUUGUUUGGGCUGCUUCCGCCUUUUACAUCACACCACAGUCUAGAAUGUCUUAAACUAUAAAGUAA
rnacentral:misc_RNA from 1 species